rnacentral:rRNA from 1 species
UUCCGUAGGUGAACCUGCGGAAGGAUCAUUAGUGAUUGUGAAUCGUUGCCUUCGGUGCUGGCUCCUGAGCAAGUGCACGUUGGUGACUUUCCUCCAUUACCCUGUGCACCUUUGGCCUCUUGUUGGCUUCGGCUGACAGAGGAUUUUACACAUUAACUCGAAUGUAAUGAAAACUACUGUCGUGCGCAAGCACUAAUGUACAACUUUCAACAACGGAUCUCUUGGCUCUCGCAUCGAUGAAGAACGCAGCGAAAUGCGAUAAGUAAUGUGAAUUGCAGAAUUCAGUGAAUCAUCGAAUCUUUGAACGCACCUUGCACCCUUUGGUAUUCCGAAGGGUAUGCUCGUUUGAGUGUCAUUGUACUCUCACACUCUCUAAUGCUUGCAUUAGGAGCGGUGGACUUGGGUGUUGCUGCUUCACGGUGGCUCACCUGAAAUGCAGUAGUGCACCUCCUGGUUGGACAUAGUACGGCGUGAUAAGUGUCUUCGCCGGCGCCUCGAAAGAGGGUGGCCGAUUGGGAGCUCUGGGCUUCUAACUGUCUUAGGACACUGUCUGACAACUUGACCUCAAAUCGAGUAGGACUACCCGCUGAACUUAAGCAUAUCAAUAAGCGGAGGAAAAGAAACUAACAAGGAUUCCCCUAGUAACGGCGAGUGAAGAGGGAAGAGCUCAAAUUUUGAAUCUGGCGUCUUUGGCGUCCGAAUUGUAAUCUAGAGAAGUGUUUUCCGUAAUGGACCGUGCACAAGUCUCCUGGAAUGGAGCGUCAUAGAGGGUGAGAAUCCCGUAUAUGGCACGGACUCCCGUUGCUCUGUGAUACACUCUCAACGAGUCGAGUUGUUUGGGAAUGCAGCUCCAAAUGGGUGGUAAAUGCCAUCUAAAGCUAAAUAUUGGCGAGAGACCGAUAGCGAACAAGUACCGUGAGGGAAAGAUGAAAAGCACUUUGGAAAGAGAGUGAAACAGUACGUGAAAUUGUUGAAAGGGAAACGCUUGAAGUCAGUCGCGCCGUUCGGGAUUCAGCCUUGCUUCUGCUUGGUUUACUUCCCGUUGGGUGGGUCAACAUCAGUUUUGGUCGGAGGAGAAAGGCCCGUGGAAGGUAGCAGCUUUGCUGUGUUAUAGCCACUUGUUGUAUACUUCGACUGGGACUGAGGAUCGCAGCACGCCUUUGGCCGGGGCUUUGCCCACGUACGUGCUUAGGAUGUUGGCAUAAUGGCUUUAAGCGACCCGUCUUG